CCACAUAUGUGCUAACAUUUGAUACAGCUUAGAAUUUAAAAAAACAUAAAAGAAGGCUAUAAAGUAAAAGUUACAAAAAAGGGGGAGGAAAAGGAAAAGGAGACAGAUGAUUUUAUCAGAAACUUGGAAUGAGGCACUUGUCACAACUAAACACUGAAUUUACCCUGGGCUUCCUGACCACAAAUAGUAGUGAUGAAACUAAGCUCCUCAUUUUUAUAUAUUUAUAACCACAUAGACAGCACUUUGUUUAUCUCAUUUAAUCCCCCUGGUUUCACAUAUUUUGAAACCAAGGGAAUCACAUAUGUAAAGAAUUUUCUGAGUUGCAUGGUUAUAAGCCAAAACUGCCUAAACUAAUGUAAUGAAAUUACAUUAUGGACUAAUUGAAGGUCUACGAUUACUUAUCCAAAACUACUGGGAACAGAAUUCAGAAUUAUUCAGGAUUUUAAAAUGUAAUCAAUUAUAUAGAACCUAUGUUAAGUAUCAUAUGUUACAUAUCAUAUUCAGAUAAUCUAGGGUAGUACCCUAUAAUCAGACAGAUUACUAUUUCUAAAAUGAAAUCUAUAAGGGGUUACACUGGC
rnacentral:lncRNA from 1 species